UCCCAUCAUCCGUGCUGCAAUGAAUAUGGAUGGGGUGGCAAGGAUUGGUGGUUGCAGCCGUGAAGAAGCAUCUGGAAAAGUUGAUGAGAGUUGUCCAUCUGCAGUUGCUGCAGCUGUGGAAAAAAUUAGAAGAAACAACCACAAAAUAAGAAGUUUGAGAGAUGAAAUUGCUGCGGUUAGGCAGAAACUAAGUGAUCUAAGAAAUACUCGAAAGUACAAAAGGUAUCGUUCUGGUCAUGAAGCUGGUGUUGCUGUUGAGGGUGAGGGGAAUGAAUUUGCUACAGGUGAUGCACAUGAACAAGCUGCAGUUGAAGAACU
rnacentral:lncRNA from 1 species